AAAUGUUAAUAUUGUGUAUCUGGAAUGAAUUUUAGAUCUUUAAGUCCAUCUCAUGAAAAAUGGGAGAAAAACAAAAGUGUUGCGUUUAUUUUUUUGCUGAGUGUAUAUUUUGCAGUUUUGAUAUGUUCCUGGUUGGGGCAUUUUUCUCAUGAUGGUGGACCUUGAAAAUUGCUGGGAUCAGUGCGCCACAAGCUCCCUGCUCUGCUCCAAUCUGAUUCAUCCAGUGUUAGAUGACUAGAUCCAUCAGCAUCUUCUUUUCUUCAUCUGAGCUGGCAUCUAUACAGUUUGAUCGCUCCGAUAUUUAUCCUCAUUUUUGUUGCGGCGCUAACGUUGGGUUGUGAGGGGCUGUAAGCUAGCAGGAGUGAGUGUCACUGAGAGAGGAAGUCGGGACAAGCUGACUCCAUAUCCUCAGAUCAGAGACGGUCUUUAGUUAAUAAAUCAGUGUUUACUUCUUUCUUCCUGUUGACUUGUAGAAUAAAUUAAUAUAAAAUUUUACAUCUUUUCCUCUGUUUUUGAAACAAGAUCAAGUUAGGUAAUACUACUUUAGAGAUUUUUAGCUUUCAUAUAAAAGUUCUCUUCAAUAUAAAUUUUUUUCUUUCAGUUUUGUCCAUAUUUACAUGUUUUCAAUAAACAAUGAACAUGUUUACCUGCUGUUUGGUCAUUUUCAGUAUUGUAGAAGUAUUUUAUUGUGUGCUCCAUUACAUUUAACCAGGACUGUUACACUUUUCUUCUGUAAAUGUUACAAUACAAAACCAUAAUAUACAUGUAGAAUGCAUUUUUCAACUCAAACAUCUGGAUCAAUAUUCUUUGGUUUAAAAAAAACUUUACUGACACAUUUUAUUUAACAAAACAUGUUAAAAUGUCCAAAUUCAGCUGCUGUCUCUCAGAUACAAAAUAGAUUUUUGGAGUUCAGUAAAGCAUCAAGUGCACAGAGGAGGACUGCUGUUUGUCCUGAUGAUGAGAGAGGCUUUUAUUUUGAAAGUGUAGGGAGUGAUUUAGAUUUUAUGCUGUUUGGUGGUCGUGGUUUCAUUAGCAGGAAUAUCAGUGAAACUAUAAGUAUUUAGGAAUAAAACAGCUGACUGUGCAGAUGUUUAUUCCUAAAAAGACCAUUAAAGGAUAUAUUUUCAUUCAUUUCAUAAUUAAAAUGUAUAGAUUUUAUAAUUCACGAGUAUUUCUUUAAAUGUUUUAGUUAAUGUUAGACAUAAUAUGAAAAUAUUACUUUUAGACUUUACAUUUACAGAUUUUAGGUCAUGUGACACCUUUUGAAUAAUUUAAUAAAAUAUUUGAUCAAACUUGUUGACUUGUUAAACUGCAAACAUUUACACUGAAUUCAGGUCUCUAUUUUAGUAACAGUAUUUUAUUGUAUCUUAUAAAGCUACAAGCAUCAUCAGUGAUCCAGAAAGUCUGUUUUGCUUUUGUUGAUCUUUUUUUCUGCAUACUCUUUUUUUUUUUUUUUAGCCUUAAGCUCCUCCCACAGGAGCGUCAUCACUCAGAAAUCACUUUCACUUUCUCAUUUGGAAACGGAGCGGCUUUCUGGAGUGGAGACCCUUAAGCUGAGACAGACCAUCUUUGAAAUAAUUCACCAGCAGGCGGGUGUCGGUGGUUUGUCUUAGUGACAAGAUAAAAACACAACGGAUCAGCUGGAGCUCGUCGUAAAAUGGGAACGAAAAGCAGCAAAAUUUCUUCAUCUGACACCAAUGCUGGCAUGAUGACUCCUGAUAAAGAAAAGAGGAAAGACAAGGGGAAAGACAAGAAGAAAGAAAAGGGGAAAGAAAAGGAGACAGAGCGUGAGAAAGAAAAGGAGAAAGAAAAGGAGACAGAACGUGAGAAAGAAAAGGAGAAA